rnacentral:rRNA from 1 species
UUGAACGCUGGCGGCAGGCCUAACACAUGCAAGUCGAACGGUAACAGGAAACAGCUUGCUGUUUCGCUGACGAGUGGCGGACGGGUGAGUAAUGUCUGGGAGACUGCCUGAUGGAGGGGGAUAACUACUGGAAACGGUAGCUAAUACCGCAUAACGUCGCAAGACCAAAGAGGGGGACCCUCGGGCCUCUUGCCAUCGGAUGUGCCCAGAUGGGAUUAGCUUGUUGGUGGGGUAACGGCUCACCAAGGCGACGAUCCCUAGCUGGUCUGAGAGGAUGACCAGCCACACUGGAACUGAGACACGGUCCAGACUCCUACGGAGGCAGCAGUGGGGAAUAUUGCACAAUGGGCGCAAGCCUGAUGCAGCCAUGCCGCGUGUAUGAAGAAGGCCUUCGGGUUGUAAAGUACUUUCAGCGGGGAGGAAGGGAGUAAAGUUAAUACCUUUGCUCAUUGACGUUACCCGCAGAAGAAGCACCGGCUAACUCCGUG